AUGAAUGUAUUUUCAGACGGGGAUUCUGCUAGUGUGGAAAAGAAAGAUUCUGAUGAUGCACCUGAUGAUGCAAAUAAAACCUCUACAGAAGACACAGAUGAUUCAUCUGACAAGGAUUCUUCAGACACAGAUGAGCAGCAGGACUCUGAUGAUUCUGACAAAGACAAAACAGAUGGAAACUUAGAUGAAAAGAGUGGCGAGAAAAAGGAGAAAGACACCAGUAAUGACUCCAGUAAAGACUCAGAAGACGAGGGUCGAGAAAGCUCUGAGACGCCAGACAAAAGCGACACAGACAGCGACUCAGACACUGAUGAGGUGAAAGUUUCAGACGACUCCAAAAACCAGGAUUCAGAAUCGAAAGACACUGACAGCACAGAGAAGAAAGAGAAAGACCAGGACUCUGACAGCGACGCAGACACCAGCAGCGUUCAAGACACGACAGAUUUCCCUGAGGACAGCGCCGAGGAUAAAGACAAGGACAGCAGGGACCCGAAAGACAAUGAAGAUGAUGGAGACAGGGAGAAGGAUGCCAAUGAGAAGGAGGAGACCAAUGAGACUGGCAGCGACAGCAUUGAGGAAAAAGAUAAAGAGGACGAAUCCAAACCAGACGAACAGGACAAGGAAGACACCACCUCAAAAGAAGACGCCGCAACCAGUCAGUCUGAUGAAAGUCCACUGGAGGAAAUGACAGAAGACAAGCAGGAAGACAAACCUGAUUCUGACAGCUCCAGUCUGGACUCAAAUUCAGACACGGACUCUGACAGCAAAGAAAAAGAGCAGGACAAAGACAAAGACAAGAACAGCACAGAGUCCACAGACACAGAUAGCUCUGACAGCAGCAGCAAGAGCGACACAGACAGCUUAGAAACAGGAGGGGAAGAUACUGAUGAAGACAAUGACUCCAGCGUGGAAAAGGAGAAACAGGAGACUCCUGAUGGCGCAUCAUUAGAGACAAAUGACUCUGAUUCUGACUCCAGCGAUGACCAUGACAACGACUCAACAGAUGCUACGACAUCAAAUGAACACACUGAUGAAAACACUGAUGCAGACAGCCAUGAUGUUGCAGACGGUACGUCUCAUGGGUCUAAAGCACUUGAUUUUGAGUUUCCCUAACCCCAAGUAUUACAUAUUGAUACGUAAUUCAGACCAUUUAUGCUAUAGACAUUAAUGAUUGUAAAAGUAGCUGUUACCUGUUUCUGAAUUCUGGGAAAUCGUGAAUUAAAAGCUGUCUUAAUUCCUUUGCAUACUUCUUUCUGUUUAGAUGAUGAUGACACUGAUGUCCAUGAUGAUGCAGUUGGGGUUGAAGACGGCACAGGUAAGUCACUCAGAGACUUAAAUGAGACAGAUGUUGUGAUGCUUCAUAAUUAAACCUGUGACUUUUGAUUUAAAGAACAACAAUAGCAAUCGUCACAUCCUUUUUUUUUUUACAGACGUCGCUUCUAAAACACACGAUGAACCAGAUCAUCUUGAUGACACAACUCAAGGUAAUGAUUCGGUUUAAAACACUUACUUCUCAGAAAACGGAAGGUCUGAAGAGAUCUCUACACACGCUAAUAUCUGUUCACGGCUUUCUUCAGGAUCAGAUGAUGCCAGCAAAACCCCUAUGCCAAGCUCCUAGCGACCAGGACUCUACCAAAACACUGUAACAGGUAUCAUGUGAUCACAUAUUAAAAGCUUUCUAAACAUCUAAUGAAAACUCACAAGUGAUUACAACUAUUACGAGGUAAUCUGGUAAUGCUUGUCAGUACGGAGUUUGGUUUCACAUAAGCUGUUCACUAUUUAGAUUAGCCAACUACACAAGAUAGUCUACUCUAAGAAGUUCAAGAAAUCUAAAAAGUGUUUAUAAAGAUAACAUUUCAAAUGCGCAAUAUCAUAACUUGUUACAAUAUGCUUAAAUACUGUACUUACAAGCUGGUCUAUGCAAAUCAGUGAAAUGGCUCAUAGGCUGUUUUUUUGUAUUCAAUUGAAAGACGAGACUUCUAUUCUUAGAGUUGCCUUAAAAGCAUCUGUUUCUUCCGUGUGGUAUCUGAUUUCUUCAUCAGCCUCUUCAAUGAUACUAUUAAAAAUAAUCAUACUUACGAAACUUUUUAUUUUUUAUUGUCUCCUGAACAAUAAACAAGCAAUUAUAACAGUUAUAUCA
ensembl:lncRNA